rnacentral:rRNA from 1 species
AAUAUUGGACAAUGGGGGCAACCCUGACCAAGGGACGCCGGUUGAGGGAAGAAGGCCUUCGGGUCGUAAACUUCUUUUGUAGGUGAAGAAGCAGAUGACGGUAGUGUACGAAUAAGUCCCGGCUAACUACGUGCCAGCAGCCGCGGUAAUACGUAGGGGACGAGCGUUGUCCGGAAUUACUGGGCGUAAAGGGCGCGCAGGCUGUGCGUCGAGUCGGCUGUUAAAGAUCCGGGCUUAACCCGGUGAAGCGGUCGAGACCGACGAGCUGGAGUGCUGCAGAGGCAAGUGGAAUUUCCGGUGUAGCGGUGAAAUGCGUAGAUAUUGGGAAGAACCCCGGUGGCGAAGGGGACUUGUUGGGCAGCAUCUGACGGUGAGGCGCGAAAGCCAGGGGAGCAAACGAGAUUAGAUACCCCUGUAGUCCUGGCCGUAAACGAUGAAUACUAGGUGUGCG